CCCGCAUGUCUCAUACCCACGGUCGUAAGUGAAGGUGAUUAGAACAGGACCUUAAUAAAUUGGCAGCCAGCCGACUGAAUCCUUAAAAAACAGCCACAAAGAAAAUCCACACCGACAGAAACACUCCAGGGACAAUUCAGAAACACAAAAUAUAUUUUGAAGGAAGGGUUACGGUCCUUUUCGAAGUCUGGAAAUAGUUGU
ensembl:misc_RNA